UACGAAGGGGGCUAGCGUUGCUCGGAAUCACUGGGCGUAAAGGGUGCGUAGGCGGGUCUUUAAGUCAUGGGUGAAAUCCUGGAGCUCAACUCCAGAACUGCCUUUGAUACUGAGGAUCUUGAGUUCGGGAGAGGUGAGUGGAACUGCGAGUGUAGAGGUGAAAUUCGUAGAUAUUCGCAAGAACACCAGUGGCGAAGGCGGCUCACUGGCCCGAUACUGACGCUGAGGCACGAAAGCGUGGGGAGCAAACAGG
rnacentral:rRNA from 1 species